rnacentral:rRNA from 1 species
UACGUAGGUGGCGAGCGUUGUCCGGAUUUACUGGGCGUAAAGCGCGCGCAGGCGGCAGUCUAAGUCCUCUGUGAAAUCACCCGGCUCAACUGGGUGGCUGCGGAGGAGACUGGGCAGUUUGAGGGGCCUAGAGGCCGGUGGAACUCCCGGUGUAGUGGUGAAAUGCGUAGAGAUCGGGAAGAACACCAGUGGCGAAGGCGGCCGGCUGGGGGCGCCCUGACGCUGAGGCGCGAGAGCGUGGGGAGCAAAUCGG